rnacentral:pre_miRNA from 1 species
AUGCUGCCAGCCAAGACGAGGGUGAUCAUAAACUCCUGGGUAAUCAUGUUGGACACCCAGUCCAGGAACAUGCCGAGGAGUUCAGAGCGGAGAGGUUCAAGGGAGCUUGCAUGGACUUUCAUGGUGUAUUCUUCGGGUACACGCCGCAGACCAAAGGAUGGCAUGUACCUGAAGCAGGAGUUUAUGAUGGCCCAGCAGUUUAUGAUCACUCUCGUUUUGCCUGUCAUCA